UACGGAGGGGGCAAGCGUUGUUCGGAAUUACUGGGCGUAAAGGGCGCGCAGGCGGCUGCUCAAGUCAGGCGUGAAAGGCCUGGGCUCAACCCGGGGAAUUGCGCUUGAGACUGGGCUGGCUUGAGUGCGGGAGAGGAUGGUGGAAUUCCCAGUGUAGAGGUGAAAUUCGUAGAUAUUGGGAAGAACACCGGUGGCGAAGGCGGCCAUCUGGACCGCAACUGACGCUCAUGCACGACAGCGUGGGGAUCAAACAGG
rnacentral:rRNA from 1 species